rnacentral:lncRNA from 1 species
GAGGGUUUGGUGGGUGAAGGCGACGAGGAGGCAAAGGAUGAGGAGGUAGAGCUGGAGAUGGCGGAGGAGGCGGUGGGCGCCGUUGGGGAGAGGGUGGUAAGGUCUGGCGGUGUAAUCUCGGGGAGACUUGAGGUGGUUCUUGGUGGUGCAGAUGAGAUGGUAGAGUCCCAAGGAGAGCAGAGCUGAGGAUGAGAACACGAGGUAGAGUAGACCUGCCAUCGUCGAUGAUGUGAUUUGGGCCUGCCCCUUCUUCUUCGGAUCCUCUCCCC